rnacentral:ncRNA from 1 species
AAAAGACUUAGUCCUAACCUUACUGUUAACUCUCGCUAAACAUAUACAUGCAAGUAUCUGCGUUCCAGUGUAAAUGCCCUUAACGUCUUCUUUCUCCAGACAAAAGGAGCAGGUAUCAGGCACACUCUUCAUCGUAGCCCAAAACACCUUGCUUAGCCACACCCCCACGGGUACUCAGCAGUAAUUAACAUUAAGCAAUAAGUGUAAACUUGACUUAGUUAUAGCGGCUAGAGGGUUGGUAAAUCUUGUGCCAGCCACCGCGGUCACACAAGAAACCCAAGCUAACAGUGACCGGCGUAAAGUGUGGUAACAUGUUAUCGAAAUAACUAAGACCAAGACACAACUAAGCUGUCAUAAGCCUAAGAUGCACUUAAACCCCCCAUAAAAAUGAUCUUAGUACCUACGACCAAUUUAAAUCCACGAAAGCUAAGACACAAACUGGGAUUAGAUACCCCACUAUGCUUAGCCCUAAAUCCUGGUGCUUGCAUUACCCAAGUACCCGCCCGAGAACUACGAGCACAAACGCUUAAAACUCUAAGGACUUGGCGGUGCCCUAAACCCACCUAGAGGAGCCUGUUCUAUAAUCGAUAACCCACGAUACACCCAACCAUCUCUUGCCAACACAGCCUACAUACCGCCGUCGCCAGCCCGCCUAAAAUGAAAGAACAGCAGCGAGCACAACAGCUACACCAGCUAACAAGACAGGUCAAGGUAUAGCCCACGAGAUGGGAGAAAUGGGCUACAUUUUCUAAAAUAGAAUACUACGAAAAAGGGUAUGAAAUCCCCCUUAGAAGGAGGAUUUAGCAGUAAAACAGAAUAAGAAAGUCUAUUUUAAGCCGGCCCUAGGGCACGUACAUACCGCCCGUCACCCUCCUCACAAGCUGUAUGACACUCCAUACAUAAUAAACCACUAAGCUGAAGAUGAGGUAAGUCGUAACAAGGUAAGUGUACCGGAAGGUGCACUUAGUAUAC